GCUGAAAUAGCUCAGUUGGGAGAGCGUUAGACUAAAGAUCUAAAGGUCCUUGGUACGAUCCUGGGUUUCGGCA
rnacentral:tRNA from 1 species